CAAACACAGCAUUUUGGGGUUUUUUCCACCCAAACCGUUGGGGGUAGGAGAGUGACUGCAAGGGGCAGCAGCAACAGCUAAAGGGAGAAAUGUGUCUAACCUCAGGGUUUUUUCCCCUAAUUUUUUCUGCUCCUGUUGUGACCACUUGCCUGCAAACAGCAAACCAGGAGCAAAUGACAGCCUCGUGAGAGCCAACAGCACAGCCCGCAGAGCCUGUUUCCCGGGGCCGCGGCCCAAGGUGGGAUUGUGUCCCAGACCCCACACCGCAGCCUCCAGCUGGCGAGGGCCACGCUGCCCAGGGCGAGGGUGACGUAACAUGCCCACUUCCAUGGGGUCUUCCACGUGACCCCCGGCCUUCGGGCUGGGAGGAAAUGAGGCUUGACGGGAAAGGACACCCAAGGUCACGCGAUGAGCUCCGGGCUUUCCGGCCUUACUCCAGUGACAAGAGGGAGGCUGAUAACAGGAGCUGCCUGGUCUCGAGCAGCCCUGCUUCCUGGGCUCUCUGUGCAUCGCCUCAUUUAAACUUCACACCAGCCCAGGGCGGAUUCUGUUGUAUGUGUAUCUCAUGGGCCUCAAACAUCUUUGUGCCACAGAUUGGAAUAAGAAAUACGCGACUGAGACUCCCAGAUGAGGAACAUGUAAGGUCCAUGAGGUGGCUGGAUCUGAGGACCAGGACCGGCCCCGCCUUCUUGCUCAGCCAUACCCCUCCCCACUAGUCGGGGAAGAGGGGCCCCUUCCCCGGGAACCAGGAGCACAGCUAAGCAAGAACACAGCUGCCCAUCCUGUGUGUCUGCUUGUCUCAACCCAUCCACCUACAUGAUGGGUACCACAAAGUUUACUCCC